GAUGAACGCUAGCUACAGGCUUAACACAUGCAAGUCGCAGGACUGGCGCACGGGUGAGUAACGCGUAUCCAACCUUCCCAUAACUACGGGAUAACCCGUUGAAAGACGGCCUAAUACCGUAUGGGUAUGGAUGGGGAUGCGUCUGAUUAGCUUGUUGGCGGGGUAACGGCCCACCAAGGCGACGAUCAGUAGGGGUUCGUAGGGGAAGGUCCCCCACAAUGGAACAAAGACACAGUCCAAACUCGUACGGGAGGCAGCAGUGAAGAAUAUUGGUCACUGGGCGCGAGCCUGAACCAGCCAAGAAGCGUGCAUGAUGACGGCCUAUGGGUUGUAAACUGCUUUUAUGUGGGGAUAGGUACCACAUGAAUAAGGACCGGCUAAUUCCGUGCCAGCAGCCGCGGUAAUAC
rnacentral:rRNA from 1 species